UUUUUAUAUUUCUAAAAUAAAUGGAAAAAGUGAUUAAUUUUUUUUAGAUUUAGAUUAAAUUAAAUUAGAAAGGUUUUUUUAAUAUUAAUUUUUAAUUUAAUGUCUUAAAUAUAAUUGAAAAAUUUAUAAAAUAAAAAUUUUCUAUAGCUUUACAUAGAAUACAAAUAAGUAGCACAAAAUAGGUAUCUACAAGUUUCCAAAAUAGUUUUUAAUUCAGCUUAAUGUUUGUGAGAGUGUGGGUUCGAUUCCCGCUGCAAUUGGUGAAAUAUUUUUGGCUAACGGCAAAUUCUUCACUGGAUGUGUUUUGUGUGAUGUCCAUCGCCUAAUGUUAGUGAUUGUUCAAUGUUCAGUCUGCACAGCCUCUGGUUGAAGACGGUGUUUUUUUAGUGGUUGUUCAAUAUAUGGUUGUCUAAUUGUUUUGUUGAGACAAGGUAAUUCAAAUUUUAGAUUUUUGUUGAGAUAAGAUUAUAUUUCUUAGAUUCUCACAAAAAAAAACAAGAUUUACAGCGACUAAAUUGUAUUGCUGAAGUUUAGACUUUAAUAUCCAUUAGAAAGAUCUUCAAUUUUAAAGGAACCUACAAAAAAAUUUUUUGAGAUAAGCCUGCCAAUCCCUACAUGUAUUUUGAGACUUUGAAGCAGUUUAAACAUUUGAUAUGAAACUUCGAGAAAUCUAUUCAGAACUAACUCAACGUACAUAUGUACAGAUGGGUAAAUUAUCGGUUAAAUUGGGAAAAAAUCCACAGCUCAGGUGAGAUUUGAACUCACGACCCUUAUUCGCUAGACAAGGGGCCAUGCACAAAUUACGUCACGCUUUUAGGGGGGAGGGGGAGUUUUGCAUACCGUGACGACCCAUACAAAAAUGUUUGAGGUCCCAUACAAAAAGUGUGACAUAGGGUGGAGGGGGGGUUGAAAAAGGUCGAUUUUUGCGUGACAUAAUUUGUGUAUCACCCCCAAGUGCUUUACCAACUAAGCUACCGAGCCAAUUAAUGACCCGGCAACUUAGUUGUCAUAAGGUAAUUCAAAUCUCAUCGAUCUAUAUCAUCUUCCCCAUCUGUACAUAUGUACGUUGAGUUAUUUGAAAUUUAUAAUUGACCACACGGAUUGGUAUUACCGAAAAUUUGCACUUUGAGUAAGUCUAUAUAGAACUUUAAUGAAAAUUUUCUGACUGAAACACCAACAUUUGCUUGGUCUACAGUCUAUUUUAAAUCUCCAGAAUAUUCCUCGGUGAAGAAAACUAAGUAAUUGGUAAUUCUGAUAAUAUAAAACAAAUAAUUCUGUGAAUCAAUACCAUGAUUUUUUUUUCCUUGAAGAAGUAACUUACAACUAAAAGAUAAUGUAUUAUGAAAUAAAAUGUAUGAAAUAACUGUUGAAGAGAAUCUCAUAAAAAAUGCGACAGAAUUUGUUUCGUUUGUAGAUUCUUGUUUCCUAAUUUUUAUGUCAAUGUUGUCCACGUGGACAUUUGACGAACCCCCACCCCCCUCUCCGUGGACAAGUGUGGACUUUUCGCUAACCCCCUCCCCCCUCCAAGCUGUCCACGUGGUAUAUGGACGGCCCCUGAGGGGUUUGUCGGCCAAAAUACUUGAAACAUGGUCGAGUACCUUUAACUUGAUUGUGAAAGAUUUGAGGCAAAUUUUGAGUUCAAAAGGUUCUAAAUAAACCCCUAUGAUGGAGAUAACAACAUGACUGAAAAUAGGUAAGUUCCCCUAUGUUAAACUUUCUAGAAAUUGUUACUGAAGAUUUUUCUAAAUUUAUUGAAGAUUCCGGUUAAAACUGUUAAUGGUUUCUUUAGAAGAAUUUCAGGAGGAAUUUUUGGUAAAAUAAAUGGAGGAAUAUCCGGAGGAACUCAUAAAGGAAUCUCUAUAUGAAUUUUUUUUGUUGCAGAAAUCACUGAAAGAAUAUGUAGGGAAGUGGAACCAUCUCGGCACGGGUCCUAUUUUGGGCACUUUUCUGCUAUAACUCAGCCAAUUUCGAACCAAUUGGCUUCUUUAGUGGUGUUGAGAUAAUUUCAUGUUCUGAAACUGCAUGCCAAACUGAGUCGAAAUCCAAAUUUUCAUCAAUUUUGGUGCCCGGGAACCUAUUUAAAAAUCAGUUUGAAAUUUGUAUGAGAGCGAUUUGUCGAAUCACCCCUCGUCGCAUUUUGUACUGAGUGGAGCUGUCAAGCAGUUGCCCAGCUGUCAAAAGGUGAUUUCAAAAAACCUCUUUGAAAUUGAUUUUAGAUACCAAAAUAAGUUCUAAAAAUCUGAAAAAAAUCAUAGCGGCUCAGAAAAUAGUGCUCUUUUGUUUAAAAAUAAAAAAAUCAUUGAAUUUUUCUUAAUUUAAAAACCCAAUUGACACAAUUUUUGGAACGCGAUGAGAUACGUUUAGUAUCUAGCGGUGUACAAAAUUUCAAGUCAAUUGGAUUGGAAUUGACUGAGUUAUAGCGAAAAGUACCCAAAAUACCGGCCGCUGCCCAAGCGGGUCGCUACCCUACUGGAAUCACUUAAUAAAAUAAAGGAAGAACUUAUGGAAAACUUCCUGGAGACAAAGAAGAAGCCUUGGAUGAAUUUCCGAAGCUACUGACGGGUCGCUACCCUACUGGAAUCACUUAAUAAAAUAAAGGAAGAACUUAUGGAAAACUUCCUGGAGACAAAGAAGAAGCCUUGGAUGAAUUUCCGAAGCUACUGAUGGGGAAUUCUGGGAUUACUAUGUAAAUAUAAUUCCUGGAGCUGUUUCUGACGGGGGAACGUCCAUAAGUAACGCUACGCUUUGAGGAGGGAGGGGCUCCGAAAAUUGUGAUAAUUUCAGAGGAGGCCCUAUACAAAAAGUGUGGGGUUGAAAAUGGACCUUCUUUUGCGUAACCUAUUUAAUGAAAUUUCUAAUAAAUUAAUGGUGCCAUUUUAGGAGGUUCUCCAUAGAAAUUUAUGAAAGAACAUAUGGCAUCUCUAAAAAUAUUUCUAAGAGAACAUUCGGAUUUUUUAAAAGAAUCCUCUCAACUUCAAGAAACUUCUCAAAGAAUUCUGAAUUUUUUUCUAGAAGAAUUCUUGGUGAAAUUUCUGAAGAUUUAAUGAAAACCUCCAAGAAUGUCAUUCGCAAAUUGCCAUGAAAAUCUUCCAAGAGUAUACAAAGAAUAUGUAGGAGAAUGAGUUUAUGGACCUAAUGAAAAUAUCGCCAAGAAUUUUGUUGAUAAUCCGUUAUGGGUUUCAAAAGAGUCUAGCUUAGUACUUAAAAAGAAUAAGUAAGGAUCUUAACAGUAUUGCUGUAGGAAAUCAUUAAAUGAAAUCACAAGAAAAAAUACAAUAGAUUCACAAGAAGAACUUCAGAAAAAUAAGCCUAAUAUGCACAAGGAAAAAAAUAGAAACUGUUUGAAAAUGACCACUGUUAUUGGUAUUAGAUUUAAACAGCUUGGCGUGAAAAAAAAUCUUUGUCAUUUUCUCAUCGGUGUGGGAAAUUUUGUUCGGCGGCGUGGAAAAAUAUGAACAGAGGCGCGCCGGGUCAAUUUGACUUGCGGCGGCGGCGUGAAAAAAUUGUCGGCGACGGCGGCGCGGCGCGGCGGCGCACACGUCUAACUACUCUAAGUAAGGGGGAGUAAGGAAAGUAAUAAAAGAACACGGUGGAUAGAUACUAUAGAGAUACGGUUAUAUAAAAAAAAAUUAUAAAAGGAUCAGUUCUCGCUCCUGUACACAAUUUGAGUUCUAUUUUGGUUCCAUAUCAACUAUUCAACACUUUAGAUCGAUCGAAAAACUAUAUUUUAGUACAGCCCAUUCUAAGGUUUUAUACAAUUUACUAUGGGGAAAUUUACUUUUUUGAAGAAAAAUCACCAAUAAUUAUCCCUUCAUCCCUAAAAUACAGUCCAUGAAUGAUUUCUGUAGGAAACUUUACUUUGAAGUGAACAAUAGUGCGUCAGAUUGAAUGUUCUGUUUUUUUUUUCAUUAUUAAUUUAUUUUAAAGACCCUUUAACUGAAUGGAAAACAUUCGGGUCCGUGUAUGUUCUGUCGUGUCGCUUGUAGUUAAAUAUCACGGUCCGACAUUUUUUUUGCCCAGCUCCAAAUUUGACCUUUUCUGAUUGCUCCCGACUAGACAAAAGUUCGCACCUAACAGUCUCCACAAAAUAACUAUUACACGGAAAGACAACAAUUUCGUUUUUCAUUGCCUAAUGAUUCCCUAUCAUGUUACUUUCAAACCAUAGCACUAGAUUUUAUCGAGUGCUUUUUGUAGCUCUAGUAAUAAAGUUUUUAAUGCAAGUACUUCAAUGUGAACUUUUGCCCCAUACUUGGGGAAAAAGUUCGCAUAGUGCGGGGCAAACGAUUGCACAUGAUGAAAGAUAUCCUUUCACUAUAGCCACGGAAUGUUUCUUUCCAUUUAUAGCAUUACAUCCCUACUGGAAUACAGCUUGGUUAUCAGUUUUUGUAUACAAUGUAUUUAAAAUAGGCCAAGAAGAAGAAAAAGAAGAAGAAGAAUAUCCAAUAUUGUCCACCUCAGACCUUUCCCUCUCCCCCUAGUAGGCUUUUACACAUGCCUUUUUUUUAAUGCAGCGUAGAUACCUGCUUUGUCCCAUUAAGAGUAUACGGAGCUUCAUGAUGCAUGUGAAAAAUGACGAUUUGUUAAUUUAAAUCAAUUUAGUCAGUAUAACACUUUAUUUUAAAAUGACAUUAUAAAAAAAAUCUACAGUUACCGGUAUAAAAAAGAUCCACCAUAUAGUGAUUACAGCUUCUAAUAAAAAAAAUACAUGCGAAAAUGAUAAAAUAUACCUUUUAAUGAAUGCACUACAUCCAUUUUACAUUGUUUUAGUAAUCUGUUUUGAGAAAUAACUGGCUUUUAAGGAAUAAAGUGAUUUCUCAUAAGAUUGGGAAAAUUACUAAAAAAUUGGGUAUGACAGAAAAAAAGAUCCACCUAGCAAUUAAUUCUGAAACUUUAAAAUGUCGUCAAGGUUCGAAAAAUUUUAAUGAUCAAAGUGUAGAUGAUAGAAUAUACCUCCAGCAAGCUUCAGUACAAGCAGAUGGAGGUGAUCAUUGCGAUACACAAACGUGAGAGUGUUUUGAGUUAUCAAAUAAUCAUUGUGAAGAUUUCACAACAUUUGCAUUUCUUUGCAUUAGUCGACCAAAACCCAUAAAAAUUGUCCAAAAAAGUGUAUCCCUGUAUGUCUGCAUGCUGAAUUAUUGUUAUACUGUAGAAUAAUAGCAAUAAUAAUAAUGUUUACAGAUUGUUUCUGUAGUUUAGGGAAAAUUUUACCCAUUAUAACCAUGAAAAAUAAAUUCGCCCCAUAUCACGCUAAAAUUGAUAAAACUCAUAUCAAAACAAACUUCAUAUGUCGAAAACAUCACAAUAGCAUACACCAAGAAGCAAACCUGUGAAAAUUUGAAGUUUCAGAAUUAAUUGUUAAGUGGAUCUUUGUUUUUGCCAUACCCAAUUUUUAAACAUUUUUUCCCAAUCUUAUCAUAAAUCACUUUAUUCUUCAAAAACUAAAUAUAUCUCAACACAGAUUACUGAAACUUUGUAAAAUGGAUGUAGUGCAUUCAUUGAAAGGUAUAUUUUAUCAUCUUUGCAAGUAGUUUUCAUUAGAAACUGUAACCACUAUAUGGUGGAUCUUUUUAUGUGCCGGUCACUGUAACAAAUUGUUAAUAAAUUGUUUUGUGGGUACAAGCUAGACCGCAUUCAAUGGAAAUACUAUUUUAAGAUUUAUUAGAAACCCUGCGGUGAUGCUCAACAUUAGGUAGAUCGUACUUUGUCGACCACAUAAAGUCAGUCAACAUGCUUCAAAGACAUCUUACAUCCCAUUUUUCUGAGGUGUUCUAUCAUCGUUUCAACUAAUUCUCGAUAGUUUGCAGUUCGAUUGUUUCCCAAAAAAAUCCAUGUUACUAAUACAAGCCUUUGCCAUGCAUGCUUCUCAUUUUUACUAGGAAGAAGUUCUUGAAAUUUUUCAUUUUCUAUGAUCUUUUUGAUUUGAGGACCAACAAGAAUGCUUUCUUUCAACUUACCUUCAGAUAUGGCAGGAAAUAAUUCCCGAAGAGAUCCAUAGCUUUUAUUUGGUGGGUGACUUAGCGAUACUGAUGUUUUUUUUAUAUAUUCUGUUACCAUAGACACCGUGUUCUCCCUCUUUUUAUAUGAUUGAUUUUCCACUUUGUUUUGACGCUUGAUCUCACUCCACAUUUCAUUCUGUGCCUAUCUGUCAUCAACAAUUACGUUUCUCACCGCGCGACUUACGACUCAUCGACCACAAUGUAUCUACUCCUCAGCGAUUAGAAUCCAGUCAUUCCAUAGAAAAUCGAUAGAGUGGAUAUCAUAAUGUCGUGAUGUUUGGGUACGAUUUUUGUUUAUUUUAAAACAUUAGACCAUAUAUGUUUAUAUUGUCAUUGGCGUGACCAGGAUGGUCCAAAAAAUAAAGAAUGUUGAAAAUCGGUUAUCUGGUUAAAAGUAAUGAUUUUUUUUUUAAAUUAUAAGUUUAGAAAACCUUGAUUUUUUGGACCAUCCUUUCUUAAGGACAAACGUCUUGAAAUCCUGCUUCAACAGUGCAUAAGAACUUCAGACGCACAAAUCUCGAGAAACUAGCUCCAACCAACAGUGAAUUUUAUUAUUCUGUUCUUGCUCACUCGUAAUAAGCUUAAAAUAAGAAGAUCAGAUGCGCUGGUUUUGUUUACGAAGAGAUGUGUGCGCUUGAAAUCGUGAGUAGGUGCCAAAGUCGGCCAAUGUGACGGCCAUUUUGGGACUCUAACAAGUCUGUCCUUAACCCUCUAAUACCCAUUUUUUUAUUUUGAUCUUAACAUCAUUAUUCGUUAUCUUAAAUCGAUUAAAACGUGAUUUGGUUGAAAAUACUUUUUAUACGUGAUUUUAAGAAUUUCUGAUUUUUUUUCUAAUUUUUAUUUUUGAACAUCCCUACAAUAUUAUAUUUUUCCUUAAAGCCAAUUUAAGUUCUCAUUGUUUGAGUCAAAAACAUUAUGCGAUUUUGUGAUUACUGUUGACAUGUUUUGAUUUUUUAAGACUGACUCAAAGUGCAAAUUUUCGGUAAUACCAAUCCGUGUGGUCAAUUAUGAUUUUCAAAUAACUCAACGUACAUAUGUACAGAUGGGUAAAUUAUUGAUUAAAUUGGGAAAAAAAUCCACAGCCCAGGUGAGAUUUGAACUCACGACCCUCAAUGAUUUUUUAAGAUUCUUUUGGAUAAUUUAAUUUUUCGUGUUAUUUUUGGGUAAAUAAUGCUAGUGUUCAAUUCCGCUAAACUAUUUUACGAUGAUAGAAUGGAUGGGGAAAAUUUUGUAAUAAGUAAAUUGUCGCGACUUAAUACAAAAGAAACACCACCAGAUGUCACCAAAGCAUAAAUUUUUAGAUGAUAAAAAAGGAAAUACGCUUCAGAAGACAUUAUAAACCAUUUUCAGAUAUGCUUAACAAUCCUAUAGCUAUAUAGCUAUAGCUAUCAGCUAUAAAAUACAAAAAUGUCCUAACUAUACCCCGCCCUAAGUAGGGGUUGGGUAUUAGAGGGUUAAAAUUGGUAACUGUAAUGUCAACAUAAAAAUAAAAUAUGAUCCAAUAUUUUUCAAAGAACGACAAACUCAUCAAAUAUAACGUCCACUGUAUUGAUUUCCUGUGGAAUGGCUGAAUUUCAAAAAAAAUAUGAACUUUUGCACAAGUUCACUUAUUUGGCGUUCGGGCGGUGCCAUGUUUACACAGAAUGAACUUGUUUUCAUGGCCACCUAGAUAAUACGACUCCGCAAAAAAGUCAAUCGAUCGAACACGUGCACUGAUCCACAUUUCCCUUCUUUUUUCACCAUGGAACAAUGAACCACUGCACAAUGAUCCAGUGCCGUAUCUGUAGCUAAACUAAAAGCUUUACACCUAAACUAUUAGAUUUUGCUAUGUUGUCAAUAUUGUAAAAUUAGGGAGUUUUCAAUAAACCAAUUUAAAAAAGCUAUCCUUGGGUUUCUUCUAAAAAUGGUUUAUUUUUAGCACUUCUUAUGUUAUGAUGGUUCAAGUGAAUUUUCAAUUUAUUAGUAUUGUUCAAAAAUUGAAUGUUUUUCAAUGUUUAAGGUGACUCCCUGUAUCACUCCUAUUUCAGCACUUCUUUUUCGACUCUUAUUUCUAACAAUCAUCGAGCGCAACAGUAGUGGUGUUGCCUUUUUAUAUUUGUUCUAUAAACAAACAAACAAAAAUAGCACCUCUUUGUCUCGCUUUCACCAAUGUAAACAUUUCAAGAUUAUUAAUUAUUUAAAAGCAAUUCAAGCAGUAGACUACUCUGUUUUGCUAAAUAACAAUGAAACAUGUCUCAAUAUUACGAAAAACACCGAAUUUUAUGUGUAAUAAGCUAAAAAUGAUCGAAUACUCUUAGUAUGCUCUUCCGCUGUUGAUGUUUGCAAGCAGCAGCAGUGUUGGCGGACAGUGCGGAGGAGAUUUCACAAAUAAAAAUUAUUUGCUUUUAUUACUAUCAUAUGUGAUUCAAAGUAAAACAAUAAUCAUUUGAAGAAUAGUUUUCGAUUUUACGACGUAUAAUCGAUAAAUUUGAGUUGACCAUUUCAAUGAUUUUGAUUGAUUUUAUUGAUGAAUUGGCCCGCGAGAUCGACAUCACUGCGUUCAAUGAUCGAUGAUUGUGCGCCGGACGGCACCGUCGCGUCGCGCUGCUGCUGUCGUCGUUGUACUGUGGUGGGUGGUAAACAUUGCCAUCGAACUCUUGGUGCGGUUGAGACAAAUUUGAAUAAUUUUCAAGUUUGAGUGCAAAUAUUUCUUUGUGGUAUAGAUAGUUCGAAAGAGAAUUUUAAUUGGAAUAGUGUGUUCUAUAUUUCUUUUCAAAAUAUCUUCAAAAUUUUAGAGAAAAGGUAAGCGUCGAUUUUCUUACGUAAAUGUAUUAGUGCAAUACUGUGUAAAGUUGAAUUUGGAUCAUACGCGCCAACUUGUGACGUAGUUGGGGGGGGGGGGGGGGGGCGAGGCCUCUCAAAACCAAUCAAAUUCGGAAAAUUUCGACGCAGUUCAUCUAGUUUAGGCAUAUUUACGUUAAAACUAGUGCAUUGAGCUGAAAAAAGAUGAAUUUUGUCCAAUUUUGGAGAGCUUCGCCCCCCAACUACGUCACAAGUUGGCGCCUAUGAUUUGGAUGAUGAUUCUGAAGAAGCCAUUUUGUGAUGACACAAGAAAAGGCCUUAAUGUUAAGUAUACAGGGUGUUAGGUUCCUGAGUGCAAACUUUUUAAAGGGUGAUAGAGGACCAUAAAUGGUGAAAAAAAUUGUUCUACGCAUAUGGUCAAAUCUCAACCGUUACGUAGUUAUUGAACUUGCCAUGUUUUUGACUCUUAUUGCCAUAACUGGCAAUAACUUGAAAAUGGUCAAACUUAUCGAAGUUUUUUUACCCUUAUUCGAAAGAUUAUUGAAUUUUCUAUCAAAUGGCAUCUUUGAAACGAUUGUUUUAGUUAAAUAACUAAGUUUUCUAGAGCAAAAUAGCUAAAAAUAGUGUAUUUUUAUUGGUUUUUAUCAAUUAUCUUUGAAAAAUGCGUAAUAAAUUAAAAUUCUUUCUUGGGCAAAGUUGUGGCCCCUGUUACACUCUACAAUUCGUUCUUUGACACCAAACUUCUAGCUCUUAUCGUUUUCUUGCAAUUUCGAUUUAAAUGUGCGGCACAAUGCGCAAAAAAGUGCUUUUCAUUACAGUUGCAAAUUUAUGAUCUGAUAUGCGAUGGUAAAAUCGAAAUUGCAACAAAACGAUAAGAGCGAGAAGUUUGAUGUCAAAGAACGAAUUGUAGAGUGGAACAGGGCCACAACUUUGCCUAAGAAAGAAUUUUAAUUGAUUACGCAUUUUUCAAAGAUAAUUGACAAAAAAAAAUUAAAACACACUUCUUUUGAGCUAUUCGCUUUAGAAAACUUAGUUAUUUAACUAAACCAAUCGAUUCAAAGAUGCCAUUUGAUAGAAAAUUCAAUAAUCAUUCGAAUAAGGGUAAAAAAACUUCGAUAAGUUUGACCAUUUUCAAGUUAUCGCCAGUUAAGGCAAUAAGAGUCAAAAACAUGGGAAGUUCAAUAACUACGUAACGGUUGAGAUUUGACCAUAUGCGUAGAACAUUUUUUUCACCAUUUAUGCUCCUCUAUCACCCUUUAAAAAGUUUGCACUCAGGAACCUAACACCCUGUAUAUAGUAUAAUUAUCUUGUCUCGAACAUAGAAUUCCCUGAAGAAGAUGUAAUACACAUCGAAACGUCGGAUGAAGGAGAAUAUCUGAUCGUUUGAUUGCAAUUGCGACUGCCACGCCGAAAAUCCUCCCAGGUGUUUAAAAACUCAGAUUAAUUUUGGUAUUUAUGGAUAAAUAAUGUUGAAAUAAAUAAAAAACACCUUUGUGCAAAUACACAUUUGGAGCAUGAAGUUGAGUUGAGAACUCGAUUGUUCUUCAUAAUAUCAUGACAAUUGAAAGGAAAUGUAAGCAUGUGGAGCACAAUGUACUAUACUCUGGAAGAAAUUGGUAGAAAUCAUCAGAAUAGUUCAUAUUAUUCAAUAAACAGCAUGUAUUUAUAAUUUCUGUAUCAGUCUAUGCAUAUCUCCAUGAUUACUUCAUAAUUUAUUUUGACAACUCUAGUAACCUUGGGAAAAAAAACUAUUAGGCUCAGUGUACCAGUUAUGGCUAUAGUACCUCAAAUUCGCCAUAGUUGAUUUUUAACCUUUAAUGAUGCAUAUCCAAGGAUGGGAACAUUUUUCUCAGCUCAGAAGCGUGCAAUCAAGAAACGAUAUAUGGACGACUUUUGCCUUGUGGUUUGGUCUAAAAGUUUGCCGAAUACAGUAAAGGUCGCACACGCAUACCGAAGUCGUAAGGGAGCUGUGAAGGCAACUUUCCACGAGGUGAAUGUAAUUUACACUCACCUCGUGGAGAGUCGCUUUCAGAAAUCUGUCACGACUUUGGGAUUCGUGUGCGACCCCAACUCCAUUUGGCAAAGUUUUAGACAAAACCACAAGGUAAAAGUCGUCCAUAUAUCGUUUCUUGAUUGCACGCUUCUGAGCUGAGAAAACUGCAAGUGAGUGAAACUCUUUGCAAGUGAGUUCCCAUCCCUGUGCAUAUCAAUAAAAAAAAUAUCAUGAACAAUAUAUCACAUUCACAAAAGAUGAUUGCGAUCAUUCAAACUUCACAAUUUGCUCAAAUUGUGAUAGAAAUAAAUCAUUUUCCUUAACUUUUCGGCUUCCUUGCACCCUAUUUCGCCAUAGUGUACCAGUUAUGGCUAAUCCCAUAAGGAAUGCAUGUAAAUAGUGCGAAGUGGAACUCAAAUUAACAAAUGUGUCCAUAACUGGUACAGGGUUCCUAUCAUUGGCACACACCGUAAUAAAUACUAAAAGUUGUUUUGACUCCGUUUCUAUAUUUUUCCUGUAAAGUAUGAAAACUAAUCAAUCAUUUGACACAUCGAUGACAUUCGUCGGUAUUCUUCUUAUUUUUGUAGAAAUAGUUUUCCUUAGGUAGUGCGAUAACUGGUACACUGGCACAGGCACCCUAUAUAAUAGUAUGUGGAAGUAAUCAUUAAAUACGUUGUAUACAAAAACUGAGAACCAAGCUGUAUUCCAGUUGGGAUAUAAUGCUAAAAAUGGAAAGAAACACAUUUCGUGGAUUUAGUGAAAGGAUAAACAUGAAUUAACUUGAAAUUAAUGGACUUUGUACCAUUAAACUAUCUUUUGUCAUGUGUAAACUUUUGCCCCGCACAAUGCGAACUUUUUCCCCAAGUAUGGGGCAAAAGUUCGCAUUGAAGUACUUGCAUUAAAAACUUUAUUACUAGAGCUACAAAAAGAAUUCGAUAAAAUCUAGUGAUACGUUUUGAAGGUUACAUGAUAAGGAAUCGUUAAGCAAUGAAAAACGAAAUAGUUGUCUUUCCGAGUAAUAGUUGCCCCUCAUUACUUUAUAGGCAAUUGUUUUUUUUUUUUUUUUUUAUCAGUAUUAACGAGAUUUUUAGCCCUAGGCUAGUUCAUCUCGGGACCCACGCUUUACUUCCCUUCCGAAGGAAGAACUCACAUUUUGCGAGUUUGUCGGGAGUGGGAUUCGAUCCCAGGUCCUCGGCGUGAUAGUCAAGUGUUCUAACCAUCACACCAGGUCCGCUCCACAUAGGCAAUUGUAAGCAACUAACCCCAUGCAAAUGCGAAAGUAUAAGUCAAGUAAUUGUCUCUCUUAGAAAGUCAAAAUAAGUGUAGAAUUAGCUAUAAGUUAAAAUACACAUUAAUAAAAAAAAGAAAGUCAAAAUGAUUGACUUAUAUACAGAGACUAAGAGAAUAGAAUCGUGGAAUCAAAAGUGAAAAAAGUUAUUGAAAAUAAACAUUUUCAAGGAGCCGUCGAGAAUAAAAACGUAACGUUUCUUGAAAACUAACGGAGUUACAAAUUUGGCGUCUUCGUUUGUAGUAAAUAUUGAGUGACCACCUGAAGUGGGUCGUCGAUUGUUUGCUUUCCACGUAAAGCUAACAAUAGCGUGGAAUCCAGCAUGGCCAGCAUGAUUCGAAGUCAAAUGGACACAUCCAGACUCCACGAUACCUUCCCUACUCACAAACACUCCAUCCUGUAGCUUUUGGUGGAGUCGCAGCGGUAAUCACGGUCCUUCACGUAACAAAGGUUGGUACUGAUAUUCCUUUCCUCUUUAAACCUGACUGCAAGGACGUGCUCAGCGCCGUUAUUGUACCGUUACACAGUGGCUGAUUUCGUCAUUUUAGCGCGCUUAAUUAAUAACUUUUUAACUAUGACGUUUAGUGUUAUGGUGCCUUCGAGAAAGUUUUUCGCUAUAAUAAGGAGCUUCUUUUGAACUAUUGUAAAAAAUGAUCAAUCCCCCUAAAAGUGAGAUAGAAAAUUUAUUUUUUGCAUUUUUCAAGAUACACGGUUGGUGUCUUCAUAAAAGUUGUAGAAAAUGUUAUUUGGAGCAACUUUGCCAAAGGCGCCAAGUUUGUAACUCCGUUACUUUUCAAGAUACGUUACGUUUUUUAUCAUCAGCCCCUUGAAAAGGGUUUUUGCGCAAUAACUUUAGAAGAGUUGAUUCUACAUUUUUCUGAUGUUCUACAAAGUUAUAGAUAAUGGUAAAACACAUAACUUUGCCGAACACAACAUCCCGCUAAUUUCAAAAAUAAAAUAGUUAUAACGGUUUUUGUAGUUUUUUUGACCAUAUUUCAAGCAUAUAUAACCUAGCUAUAGGCAAUUAUAUGCAAAUUUCUUUUUACGCAUGUGAAUAUAUAAGUAAUUGCCUCUCUUAGAAAGCCAAAACCAUCAAACUGUAAGAGACUGUAAGAUGGUUUUUGUACAGAAACUUUCAACCAUCUAUGUUACUUUUAUAUGGGAUUUAUUCAUAUCUUCAACAUAUUUUUUUGAGAGUUCAUGACAGCUUGCAUUUUUAUUGUUAUCGUAAGUGUGUGAAUAUAUAGUAAGGAUUGUGGUGUAUUCUGGAGCAUUCAUGAAGUACGUUACAUGAAAACUUACCAUCUACUUCUAUUUUCUGACUAACUGACAGUGCUGCACGUAGUCCUCGAAAAGAACGCAUAAAGUGUUACUUUUUUGUCAGAUCACGAUUAAACAGCACCUUACUGUAAAGUACAGUGAGAUUUAUUAUCAGCUAUAACUAUUGUAGACAUGUACUAGAGGGAGCGUUCACAAAAUAUGUCACGCGCAAGUUAAGAAUUUGAGAAAAAAUGGCACUGCGUUCGCUCUUUUCGUGGACUACGUGCAGCACUGUGAGUUAGUAAGAAAAUAUAAAUAAAUGGUAAGUUUUCGUGUAACGUACUUCAUGAAUGCUCCAGAAUGCACCACAAUCCAUUCUAUAUAUUCACACACACGUACAAUAACAAUAAAAAUGCAAGCCGUAAUGAACCCUCAAAAAAAUAUGGUGAAGAUAUGAAUAAAUCCCAUAUAAAAGUAACAUAGAUGGUUGAAAGUUUCUGUGCAAAAACCAUCUUACAGUCUCUUACAGUUUGAUGGUUUUGGCUUUCUAAGAAAGGCAAUUACUUGUAUAUUCACAUGCGUAAAAGGAAAUUUGCAUAUAAUUGCCUAUAGCUAGGUUAUAUAUGCUUGAAAUAUGGCCCAAAAAACUAUAAAAUCCGUUAUAACUACUUUAUUUUUGAAACUAGCGGGAUGUUGUGUUCGGCAAAGUUAUGUAUUUUACCAUUAUCUAUAACUUUGUAGAACAUCAGAAAAAUGUAGAAUCAACUCUUCGAAAGUUAUUGCGCAAAAACCCUUUUCAAGGGGCUGAUGAUAAAAGACGUAACGUAUCUUGAAAAGUAACGGAGUUACAAACUUGGCGCCUUUGGCAAAGUUGCUCCAAAUAACAUUUUCUACAACUUUUGUAAAGACACCAACCGUGUAUCUUGAAAAAUGCAAAAAAUAAAUUUUCUAUCUCACUUUUAGGGGGAUUGAUCAUUUUUUACAAUAGUUCAAAAGAAGCUCCUUAUUAUAGCGAAAAACUUUCUCGAAGACACCAUGACGCUAAA